rnacentral:tRNA from 1 species
AGAGGGUUCGCCAAGUUGGUUAAGGCAUGGGGCUUUGAUCCCCACACGCCCAGGUUCGAGUCCUGGACCCUCUGCCA